rnacentral:rRNA from 1 species
GACGAACGCUGGCGGCGUGCUUAACACAUGCAAGUCGAACGGAAAGGCCCCUUUGGGGGUACUCGAGUGGCGAACGGGUGAGUAAAACGUGAGUAACCUGCCCUUGACUUCGGGAUAACUUCAGGAAACUGGGGCUAAUACCGGAUAGGAAUCCUUGCUGCAUGGUGGGGGUUGGAAAGCUUCGGCGGUUUUGGAUGGACUCGCGGCUUAUCAGCUUGUUGGUGGGGUAGUGGCUUACCAAGGCUUUGACGGGUAGCCGGCCUGAGAGGGCGACCGGCCACAUUGGGACUGAGAUACGGCCCAGACUCCUACGGGGGGCAGCAGUGGGGAAUAUUGCACAAGGGGCGGAAGCCUGAUGCAGCAACGCCGCGUGCGGGAUGACGGCCUUCGGGUUGUAAACCGCUUUCAGCAGGGGCGAAGCUUGUGGUGACGGUACCUGCAGAAGAAGCACCGGCUAACUACGUG